rnacentral:rRNA from 1 species
UACGGGGGGGGUAAGCGUUGUUCGGAAUUACUGGGCGUAAAGGGCUCGUAGGCGGCCAACUAAGUCAGACGUGAAAUCCCUCAGCUUAACUGGGGAACUGCGUCUGAUACUGGAUGGCUUGGAUUCGGGAGAGGAAUGCGGAAUUCCAGGUGUAGCGGUGAAAUGCGUAGAUAUCUGGAGGAACACCGGUGGCGAAGGCGGCAUCCUGGACCGGUAUUGACACUGAGGCGCGAAAGCCAGGGGAGCAAACGGG